GGGAAUUAAGAUUGAAGGAGCUUAUUUUCCUUUGUUUCUAAUUGUAUGUGUACUAGUUAUAUGUGUGCACAACAACAUAUCACAUCAUUUUUAUCGUUUCCAAACAAGGUAUCAACAACCUCACAUCUUAAGUUUUUAUUCACAAUAUGUUUCUGAUUCUUGAAAAAUUUGCCAAUUGGCUUCAGACCUGUGAAUUUCUUUUUAGUGUUGUUGUUCAAGACAACAAACACUUCAUUUUUCUGAUCUUGCUUUCUAGCUUCUUCUUCAAUGCGAAGACAUGUUAUCAGACAUUUGAGGGAAUAUUGUUUAGCCAUUUUUAUCCUUAUUAGCAUGUUCUCUUUUUAAAGUAAAAUUGGAAUGUCUUUCUUCAAAACAAUAGCAACUCUGUUGUUAUUAUAAAAGCAUAUUUUUUGUUGCCAAUAUUUGAAGUGAUUUCCUUCAAACCGAAAUGGUUUGUUCUAGCUAGCAACAUCAUAAUUUGAGCCAGUAAUUUCUCCGGUAGACAUUGCAGAAAGAAACGUCUUAAAAUUGUUGUUUCCGAGGUUCAAAAUCGUUAAAAAUAAUUUUCAGCCACCGAAGAGAUUACUGGACUGAGUCGCGGGUGAAUACGCUUUCUUUAAGACGUUUCGCGGCACUGCCC
rnacentral:lncRNA from 1 species